rnacentral:rRNA from 1 species
AUAUCAAUAAGCGGGGGGA